UUACGGCCACAUCACGUUGAAACACCGGUCCCCCCCUACGCUCACCGAAGUUAAGCAACGUCGAGCUUGAUCAUUACUUUGAUGGGUAACCGCUUGGGUAUACCAGGUUCUGUAA